rnacentral:piRNA from 1 species
UAGCCUAUCUUCCAAGGACCAGGUGUGAC